UACGUAGGGUGCAAGCGUUGUCCGGAAUUAUUGGGCGUAAAGAGCUCGUAGGCGGUCUGUCGCGUCUGCUGUGAAGACCCGAGGCUCAACCUCGGGCCUGCAGUGGGUACGGGCAGACUAGAGUGCGGUAGGGGAGAUUGGAAUUCCUGGAGUAGCGGUGGAAUGCGCAGAUAUCAGGAGGAACACCGAUGGCGAAGGCAGAUCUCUGGGCCGUAGCUGACGCUGAGGAGCGAAAGCGUGGGGAGCAAACAGG
rnacentral:rRNA from 1 species